rnacentral:rRNA from 1 species
CCUACGGGAGGCUGCAGUGGGGAAUAUUGGACAAUGGGGGCAACCCUGAUCCAGCCAUGCCGCGUGUGUGAAGAAGGCCCUCGGGUUGUAAAGCACUUUCAGUGAGGAAGAACGCCUGGUGGUUAAUACCCAUCAGGAAAGACAUCACUCACAGAAGAAGCACCGGCUAACUCCGUGCCAGCAGCCGCGGUAAUACGGAGGGUGCGAGCGUUAAUCGGAAUUACUGGGCGUAAAGCGCGCGUAGGUGGCUUGAUAAGCCGGUUGUGAAAGCCCCGGGCUCAACCUGGGAACGGCAUCCGGAACUGUCAAGCUAGAGUGCAGGAGAGGAAGGUAGAAUUCCCGGUGUAGCGGUGAAAUGCGUAGAGAUCGGGAGGAAUACCAGUGGCGAAGGCGGCCUUCUGGACUGACACUGACACUGAGGUGCGAAAGCGUGGGUAGCAAACAGGUUUAGAUACCCGAGUAGUC